AACGCACAUUGCGCCCUCUGGUAUUCCGGGGGGCAUGCCUGUUCGAGCGUCAUUACAACCCUCAAGCUCUGCUUGGUAUUGGGCUCUGCCGGUCCUGGCAGGCCUCAAAGUCAGUGGCGGUGCCAUCCGGCUCCAAGCGUAGUAAUUCUUCUCGCUUCGGAGGCCGCGGUGCGUGCUAGCCAGCAACCCCCAAUUUUUUUCAGGUUGACCUCGGAUCAGGUAGGGAUACCCGCUGAACUUAA
rnacentral:misc_RNA from 1 species